UUGCUUUGGUACCACAUAUACUAAGACUGGACCGAUACAGAGAAGAUUAGCAUGGCCUCCGCACAAGAAGUUCAUCCCUAGCUUUUUUUUGUUUGUUUGUUUUU